GGUGAGGGGAGGGAGGGCAGCUUGCCUGACAGAGGAGCACGAACUCCGUUUCCGGGGCAACGUUGACACCGCUAGGCAAGCACUUUGCAAGCAUUUCGGGAGGAUCUAAUUACAAACCAACAAAUGAUACCAUACGUCUGUUUUUAGGGAGGUCCCUGGACAGUCUUUUAAACUCCGUCUAAUUGCUCAUUUUCUUUAAAGGCAAUGUGACAUAGUGAUCGUCGAAGUCUAGUUUGAAUCCUACAACGGCCACUUGAGCUGGAGCCUCGUCCGAGUAAGCGCCCUUACCUGAACAUACAGGUUGCAGGCGUGUCCACGGGGCACUGUGAGGGUUAAUACACUCAAGCGAUAAUGCACUCACUCCCUAGCCUACAGGGAGCUCUAACACAUCGGUACAUUCCCUUCAGAAAUGUUUUCCUAUUCCAAACCCGCCUCCCUAUUUUAGGGCCUUUCAAAGUUAGGAAUGCCUCUUUUCUGUGGACCAGACUGCACUUUGUUUUGUUUAUGUUAACCGUUUUUAUUCCAUACAAUCAUUCUCUACAUGCAUUUUAUAGCUUUCCUUUUUAUGACGGAUGAGCCAAUAUUGAAACUUGGCUACUAAGGCCCCUGGUUUACGGCCGGUUCACUGCUGAGUCGUGCAUUCUGUGGGUUUUGACAAAUGUAUGACAUUUUGGCCCCAUUGUAUCUUACAGAGUAGUUUCCCUGCCCCCUCCCCCAUGCUCUGCCUAUUCAUCCUUCCCUCCCAUCCCCAGCAACCAGUGAUCAUUCUCUUGUCUCCAUGGUUUUGCCUUUUCCAGAAUGCCAUCUAGUUGGAUUCAUACAGCACGUAGCCUUUUCAGAUCGCCUUGCGAAGUAAUUCACAUUUAAGGUCCCUCCGUGUCUGUUCGUGAAAUGAUAGUUCAUUUCCUUUUUUGCUGAAGAAUCCAUUGCCUGGAUGGACCACAGUUUAUUUAUCCAUCCACCUACUGAAGGAUAUCUUGGUUGCUCCCAGGAGUUGGCGAUUAUGAGUGAAACUGCUCUAAACAUCCGUGUGCAGGGUGUAUAUGGACGUACAUUUUCAACUUAUGAGUAGAUACCAAAGAGUGCAGUCGCUAAGCCGCAUGGUAGGAUAUGUCUAGUUUUCUAAGAAACUGUCGAACUGUCUUCCGUUUUGUAUGACUUCCAUUUUGCUUCCCCGCCAGCAGUGAAUGGGAGUUCCCGCUGUCCUCACCAGCAGUUGUCAGUGCUUUGGAUUUUAGCCAUUCUAGAUGGAAAAUCAGUGCGUGGGCAGUGAAAGGGAAGUCCAGCCUCACGGAGGGGCUUUUCCUGUGGGUCUCCAGAACAUUCCUCCCACCCCACCCACCUCAUGACAAACUGAGGCAAUGUCCUAAUGCUUCCGGAUAACAAAGCAUCUGAGGCUCUGAAGUUCAGUGUGAAAAUACGCACAUGUUCGGCUAUAUUGGAAAGCACGGCAAAGAGAAAGUGAGAUUCUCCGCAAGACACGUGGAGUAAGGAUAAGUGAGCCAGUUUUUAAGCUGAGGCUUCCCUGUAGGAGUUGCAGCAGCCGUGUGACUUUGGACAAAUAUCACCGAGAGAGAGGCGCCCAGAGGACCUCCCUGCUCCAGAGGAGGCUGCCCCGAGGGCUGCUGUAAUGCCAGGACGGAGGAUGCUGACUGUCCAGAAAGAUGCUGGCGACAGCCCGGUCCCACCUGCGGUGGCCCCUGCUGAAGGCCGACGGGGCCCCAGGAGGACGAGCCAGCCCGGCCGCCUGCACGCUCGGAGCCGACGGGGGCCUGGAGGCCGGGCGGGGAGGUGGGCGCCGGCCAGUGCUCGUCUGCAAGGAGGCGAGAGAGGACACUUUCCAAGAGGCGAGAGACACAGCUUUCCCCAGGGCUGGUGGUCUUGAAAACGCUCCCCUGCUCCCAUCAGCCCAUCCCCAGGGCCUCAGCCGGAUUGCGCCCUGGAGCCCAGACUGGCAGGC